rnacentral:rRNA from 1 species
UACGGAGGGCGCUAGCGUUGUUCGGAAUUACUGGGCGUAAAGCGCACGUAGGCGGCUUUGUAAGUUAGAGGUGAAAGCCCGGAGCUCAACUCCGGAAUUGCCUUUAAGACUGCAUCGCUUGAAUCCGGGAGAGGUGAGUGGAAUUCCGAGUGUAGAGGUGAAAUUCGUAGAUAUUCGGAAGAACACCAGUGGCGAAGGCGGCUCACUGGACCGGUAUUGACGCUGAGGUGCGAAAGCGUGGGGAGCAAACAGG